rnacentral:lncRNA from 1 species
AGCCUUCUAGCUCUAUUUCUUAAAGACGAACACGAUCAAGAAGGCAUCGAAUUCACAGUGCGCUUAAAGGCUGGAGAGGCUGUGUACCUGUCAUCCCACUAACUUGUUCCAGAAGAUGUGAGCGAAGAGUUGCAGCAGGAAAUUUCCGAGUUAUGAGCCGGAGAUGCGAGAAGUUUGCAGGUACUACGAGGUGUGUUCCAGAAGAUUGGUGUUAUCGGAAUAUUCCGGAUGUGGGAUAACCCCAAGAAUAAAGUUAGGGCUAGAUUAGGAGGGAUGCCAGGGAUAUCCUGGAUAUGAAGGGAAUAUUCUGCAGGAGGGAGUUAAGGCCGGAUUCUUGCCGGGGAAAAAACGGUUGCUUGGAGGAAGUUUUGACAGCGUUUUGGAGAUGGUGCGAGACGGUCAGCAGUCUGGUCCUGUGCGUCGCAACCCCACAGCAGAUCGGAUCACGAGGAAGCACAGGGUGAGAAGAGCGGUGGAGCGCAUGCAUGUCCAGCCUGAUCAACAGAUUCUCACGCAUUGCCCCACUUGCGGCCAAGUUUGGUAUCGUCUGAUGCGUGAAGUCCUAGAGGAGCUCUUGGCACCUGAGGCCGCUGAUUUAGUGGCAAACAUCCCGAUGUAUCCAGUUCAGUAGUUGGAAUGAAAGAUGACGUUGAGUUUUCCUGGAGUUUUCUGUGUGCGUUAGUAGAGAGCAGUUGGAAAAAGUUAGGACUACAGUACCUUUUAGUCCUGAAGAGCUCCAAAAACUCCUCCCGAGUUAUAAGAUCUCGAAAGCUUCAUCGCCAUUCUCAAAGCUGGCAACCAAGAUGUAAGUGCCUGUGCAGGGAACAUAUUGAGAAGUAUCUGGCCAUACCUCUGUCACGACGAGCAACUAGAAAUCGCCAUUGAAACUUCUUGGCUCCUCCAAG